UGGGGAAGAUUGGACAAUGGGGGGAACCCUGAUCCAGCCAUGCCGCGUGUGUGAAGAAGGCCUUAUGGUUGUAAAGCACUUUAAGCGAGGAGGAGGGUACUGGUAUUAAUACUACCAGGUACUGGACGUUACUCGCAGAAUAAGCACCGGCUAACUCUGUGCCAGCAGCCGCGGUAAUACAGAGGGUGCGAGCGUUAAUCGGAUUUACUGGGCGUAAAGCGUGCGUAGGCGGCUAAUUGAGUCGGAUGUGAAAUCCCCGAGCUUAACUUGGGAAUUGCAUUCGAUACUGGUUAGCUAGAGUGUGGGAGAGGAUGGUAGAAUUCCAGGUGUAGCGGUGAAAUGCGUAGAGAUCUGGAGGAAUACCGAUGGCGAAGGCAGCCAUCUGGCCUAACACUGACGCUGAGGUACGAAAGCAUGGGGAGCAAACAGG
rnacentral:rRNA from 1 species